CAUUUUACACCAAUUAUUUACAUGUAUCACUAGGAUUAGUGGCUCAGCAGGUAUUAAACAGUUUAGAUCAGUAGCUGCUUUCGUUCGCCAGUGGCUGUCUGGGUCUUUAUGGGUUAAAUUUUGAAGUAA